UACGUAGGGCGCAAGCGUUAUCCGGAAUUAUUGGGCGUAAAGAGCUCGUAGGCGGUUUGUCGCGUCUGCCGUGAAAGUCCGGGGCUCAACUCCGGAUCUGCGGUGGGUACGGGCAGACUAGAGUGAUGUAGGGGAGACUGGAAUUCCUGGUGUAGCGGUGAAAUGCGCAGAUAGCAGGAGGAACACCGAUGGCGAAGGCAGGUCUCUGGGCAUUAACUGACGCUGAGGAGCGAAAGCAUGGGGAGCGAACAGG
rnacentral:rRNA from 1 species